rnacentral:rRNA from 1 species
CGCCUGUUUAACAAAAACAUGUCUUUUAGAUUUUAUUAAAAGUCUGACCUGCCCAAUGAAUUUUUUUAAUGGCCGCGGUAUUUUGACCGUGCAAAGGUAGCAUAAUCAUUUGUCUCUUAAUUAGAGGCUGGAAUGAAUGGUUGGACGAGAAAUCAGCUUUCUUUAAUAUAUAUUUAAAACUUAAUUUUUAAGUCAAAAAGCUUAAAUUUUAUUAAGGGACGAGAAGACCCUAUAGAACUUUAUUAAUUUAUUGGACCACAUAAUUUUUUUAUUUACUUUUGUGGUCCACAUCUUUUAAUUGUGUUGGGGUGACAUAGAAAUUUAAUUAACUUUCUUUUUUUAUAUUCAUUGAUUAGUGUAUUUUUAGAUCCAGGUUUAUCUUGAUUAUAAGUUUAAGUUACCUUAGGGAUAACAGCGUAAUUCUUUUGGAGAGUUCUAAUCGAUGAAAGAGUUUGCGACCUCGAUGUUGGAUUAAAAUUAGUAUUGGGAGUAGAAGAUCAAUUACUAGGUCUGUUCGACCUUUA